CAAAAACUAGUUUUUAAUAACUGCGCUAAAUAUAAAUGAUGCUUUUUGCUUCCGCGUGGAGGAAGUUUUGUAGUCCUUUCGUUUAUAAAAUUUUUAAAAAUGGUGAAAACACAUUUUCCUCUAUAUAGAAACAUGUUAUAUGAGAUCCUGAUCAAUUAUCCGGAUGUAUGUAAGUGUGUGUAUGUGUGUGUGGAUCGUUUUUGUGAACACGAUAACUUUAACAGGUUUUAAUGGAUUUGGGUAAAAUUUGGUAGGGUUAUUUAUCACAUUAGUCUCUCAAAAAUGACGAGAGGAUUUUUAAAAAUACCCCCAAAAAAAAUUUUAUCAUCUUUUUUCCAAUAAAUUUUUUUUAAUUGAAAAAAUUUUUAAAUAGAAAAAUUUAAUGUAAUAUAUAAUAUAAUCGUCUUCUUUACGUCAAGACAAAACGAUUACUAUAUAAAAAGUAUAGAUUUGGUUAAAAUUUAAAAAAUUAAUGAAAGUUAAAAAAUUUAGCUAAAAAAUGUUGUGUUUAUUAAAAUUCAAGUUUAUAUAUGAAAUAAUUUUAUUCACUGCAUUAAAACAAAUCGAUUUGUAUAUAUAAAGUACAGAUUUAACUUAAAUUUUAAGAAUUAAUAAAAAUUGAAAAAUCAAAAAUCCAUAUCUUAGCUAAAAAAUUUUAUGUUUUUUUAAAUUCAAGUUAAUACAUAAAAUAAUUGAAUUCCUUGUAUUGAAACAAAUCGAUUCGUAUAUAUAAAGUAUAUGUUAUACCCAAAUGAAUUGCAAUUUUCUUAAUUUUUCAAUAUAUUUAAUGAAUUUAAAUCAUUUUUUAACUCGAAAUGUUUUAAAUCAAUUAAUUGAAUUAGAGAAAUUCAUAGCCUCCUCCACGAGGAAGCAAAUUUUUUGCUUCACACAAAGAGGAAGCAAAAUGUUUAUAAAAUAAACAUAAAGGACCCCCUCCGACCCCCUCCUUCCCUAUUGAAAAAUCCCAUAUAGGAUUCUAUAUAGGAUCCGAUAAAAUUUCCCAGAAAAAAAACUAUAUAAAAUCCUUGAAUCUUAUAGGAAUUUUUAUAGGAUCUCAUAUAAAUUCCUAUAAGAAAGUGAAACAGGAUUUAAUGUAGGAAAUGACAUAGGAUAAUUAUAUAUAAUUUCCUAUAUAUAUGUAGGAAAUAAUAAGGGAAAUUAUAUAGGAAAUUUUAUGGGUAAUUUCAAUAUAGAUGUAGAUCAUUAUAGUUCCACACUUACGCCGCCAGAUGGUUAUAAUAUUUUGUCUCUCACAGUUGAGAUCAGUCUUGAAUAGUAUAAAAGCUAAGACUCUAACUCAGAAGAUGUAUUGCAAAUCACAAAUUUUUUUCUUUUUAGAUGAAUGCAGUAAUAUUAUUUGAUUUUUAAUUAAAUAAUUUUUAAUUUUUUAAAACAGCCGUCUGCAUAAAGUAUUCAACUGAAAAUUCCCAUAUGAAAUCCUAUAUUGUUUCCUUUAUAUAAAUCCAUAUGAAAUCAUAGGUUUACAUGAGAUUUCUUAUGAGAUUCGACAUGAGAUUUUUCAAAGGAAUUUUUUAUGUAUAUAAGCAAAAUAAAAUUUCACCUAGGAUACAAUAUGGGAUUUGACAUAAGAAAAUUUUGAUUAAGGUUAUUUAUUAUGAAUUAUUGUAUGUUUUUAUACAGGAAAUAUCAUAGGAAAUUUAUAAGGAAUUGACAUGGGGAUAUGACAUAAGAUUAUGUGAGAGAAAAUUUAGAGGAAAUCACAUAGGAAUUCACAUAAUUUUUCAAAGGGAUAUGAUAACUCCUAUGUCACUUUCUACGUGCAUCCUAUAUGGGGGUUUUCAAUAGGGUUGUACGGUUGAGAUAUACACAAAAUACAUACUUUACACUAUACACACUAAACAUGGUCGAGGAUCGAGUCCUACAAGUUAGCCCGCGAAUUGUAAGAUGAUAUUUCAAAGAAUAAAUUCAAAAAACUUUUUUUUGUUUAAUUUUCAUCGUUUACGUUACACUAGAACGAAAUAUACAUUUUUAGAAUUUAUUAUUUCAAUAAUUAACAAUUUUUAAAAUUUCUACCUCUUUCUAUCUCUCUUUUUUCUAUCUCUUUCUAUUCCUUAAAAUAGAUAAGCGAAGAGAUAGAAAAAUAGAGAUAUAAAAGUUCUAUCUCUUUCAAGUAUCCAUUCUGCACUUCCAAAACUGUAUACCUUUUUAUUAGAGGUGUGAAUUCGAGCAUAUUAAACAUAGAGAUAUAAGAAUAGAGUGCGCAAGAGGCUCGAAAAAACGACAGAUUAUAUGCGUUGGACAGAAAGAGACAGAUGCGAUUUGUAGGCCCUUUUCCCAUCCUUGUUUCACUGAUGUAUCGGAGUUAGUAAGAGAAGAAGGAAGGCAGGGCCCACUAGUUGCAUCUGUCUUCUUCUAUUGGUUUAUCGCAGCGAAACAUGGAAAUUGUACAGGCUUGCGCACUCUAUUCUUAUAUCUCUAUGGUAUUAACCGUUCAAUUUUUAUUUUCUUGCAAAAACUACAUAUUUGAAAUUACAAACUCAUGAAAAAAUAGCUUACAAACAAUCGAAUAUUCAAAUUCUCGAGUACUCGAAAAUUUUCGAACUUUUUAUACAGCUCGGCUCAAACUCGGCUCGAGCUCGAAUUAAUAAUGCUCGGCUCGAAAAAUCUCGACCGAGUUUCGAGCUUUUUGCACACCUCUACUUUUUAUCUCUUCCGAUUUUUUUAACAAAAAACUCAAAAUUUUGAUUAAAACACGUGCUAUUUAAAAAAAAUCGGUUUUUUCAAAAUCCCCUACGUCUUUUCAUAGAUUUUGAGUUAGGUAUAAACUAAAAAAAAAUUUAGUUUUUUGUUCUGAGUCAUAAACUAAAAAAUAUUUUCUACCGGCCGUACACGUCUGCAUAAAAAAGGGUUUUUGUGGAUCGACUGUCAGUGCGGCUAUUUUAAAUUUUUUAUCUUUUGAAAAUAAUUUUUUAAUAGUUUAAUAUGUACUUCACAGUAAUAUAUAAUUCAUUUUUUAAUUCAUUUUAUUUUGUUCUUUAAAAAAAUCUUAAAAAUGGGUCUGAUUUUCGGUCUUACAGUGGUAGUCUUACAGUCUAACCCCUUAAGCCGUUUCAUAUAGGCCUAAUUUCAUAUUCAUAGCAAAAGCAGAGGUCGCAAAAUUCCCGCUAAUAAUUUAAUUUUUGCUAUUUUAAAAAUAGUUAGACGUUCUGUUUGUUGGAUUUUUGAAAUAAGGGGCCAUUCAUUAAUUAUGUAAGGACGAUUUUGGCUAAUUUUGACCCCCCCCCUACACUAAUGUAAGGAUACAUAAGAAUUUUCGGACCCCCCCUCCCCCUUGUUACGUAAGUUUUUAACAAUAUUAAUGUAAUUAAAAAAUUAAUUACAACAAUACCCUUAUGUAAUUAAUGAAUGGUCCCUAACAGAUCUCAUUUUUAAUGUACAAAAUCGAAAUAAAUUGUUAUCGAUAUACCAUCACUAAUCCAAAGCACUAAGAAACAUUAACUAUCUUUAUAUUCUAGAUUUAAUAACUUCAAUAACAUGACGAUCCGGUUGCAUUGCAAAUAUACUAUACGAAGCAUUUUUCAGAUUUCUCUAAGCACAAUACAGCGUAGAAUAUCAAUUUUCCUUACGUUUUUAUAUACAUGGUGUUCCAAAAGUAUGGAAACUUGCAAAUAUCUCGAAAAGUAGGCAUUUUCGUGACACUUCUUUUUUCACUGUUGGGUCCCGGGACCAAUUUUUUGGCUUCAAAAAUGUAGAUAUUUUGGGGGGACAACUUUAGUUUUGAAGAUUUUUCAUGAAAAUGCAAACUUUUCGAGAUAUUUGCAAGUUUCCAUACUUUUGGAACACCCUGUGUGUAUGUAAAAUAUAUAGGGGAAGUCCGGGGGAGUUGGCCAUGCGGGAGAGAUAGCCAAUUCAAAUAUUUUAUAGAAUUUGCUGCUAGGUAUCGCUUAUUAAAGAUUAGUUCGCCUUAUUUUGUGGCAAAACACAAUUAAAAGAAAAAAAUUCACGAAAAAUAUUGAAAAAGUAAGUAAAAAAACUGAUUUGUUAUUUUGACUAGUUCUGAAAAAAGUGAUGAGUUUACGUUUCUCACUGGUGUUUUGUUCUUUUAUAGAAUAAUUUUGAAUUUAAUUUUUUUCUGUAAAGUACAUGACCCAAGCUUUGUCAUAAAGUUAUAUUUAUUCAAAAGUUUUAUUUAUUUAUUUAAAUUUUAGUUGUGUCAAUUUGUCUCCUGACAUUAAGAGAGAUGGCUAUGUUUUUUCGAGUUGUUCAAAAACUGUGUUUCUGAGUGUUUUCAGUAUUUUUUUCUCUUUAAACUGACGUGUUAGAGACUUCUAUCUAGGCUUAAAUUGAAGUUUAAAACGUACAUUUUAAGACCCAUAUGCGCAUAAUAAAAAAAAUUUUGAUAAAAUGGGGGUAAUGACCCCAAAAAUCUUUUUAAGUGACUUGAACCUAAUUUUUUUCAAAAUUUCAAUUUUUUAUCUUGCUCAUUCCUAUGUGUCUUAAAGUGUAAAAUAUGAGCUUUAAUUUAAGCCUAUAUAAAAGUCUCUAUCACGUCAGGUUAAGGAAUAAAAAUACUGAAAACACUCAAAAACACUGUUUUUGGAGACUUUACCUCCACUUUAUUCGAAAUCAUGGUGUAAUACGCAAUUUUGGAACCCGGAAUCGUGUUCAGAACACAAAAAUAAAUUGGAAACCAUUCUGAUAUCUCAAAAAAACUCCUUGUAGCCUUGUUGUAUCGGUGAGACAAACAGACAGACAGCGCUUAUGAAAAUUGCACUGUAUUUAAUCAUAAAUGUUCAAAAUGUAGUCAGAAAAAGAAAAAAAGACUUUAAUCCCUUUAAAUUACAAAUUUUGAUAAAGCGAAAAGCUAAAAAUUGAUUUUAAAGUAUUGGCCAUCUCCCCCGUACAUUCCGGGAGAGAUGGCCAAACGCAUUUCUUAAGAAAUAUUAAUUUUAAGAUUGUUUGCAUUUAAAAAAUUUCUCAUUUCUAUUAUUUUUUGUAAGUUAAAUGUUCAAUGUUUAAUUAGCAAUAAAAGUUAAUACAUAAAUCACUUUCUUUUUAUUUUUACAGACCUUUAAAAAAACUAUGGUCAACUCCCCCGGACUUACCCUAAUUACUAUUUUACUUCAUAAAGGAAUUUCAUAAAAAAUUUAUUUAUUAUUGAUCUGAAAUCUGUAUAACUGUACGUAUGAACUUGACUACAAGAAUAAUAAUAAUUAUAAUAAUUAAUAUUAAUAAAAUAAUUAUAAUAAUUAGGGAUGUGCAAGAAAUUGGAAACUCGACUGACAAUGAGUUAUUUCGAACUUUUCGUAUUUCGAGCAGAAUCGAGUCCAGCUUGAUCAGUUUGAAUUAAAGUCGAAUUUAGUUUUCAUUUUUUUCCCAAAAUUUAUAAAAUUCUUAUAUGGUUAGAGUAUUCAAACUUUUCGUAUUAUGGAACGAAUUCGAGGAUUCAAAAAAUUUUUAAACUUGAAUUGUUUUUUAUUAUUAUCAAAUCCUCUCAGAGAGAAAAAAAAUUUUAAAAACUUAAGAUUAAAUUCUUGAACUUUUCGAAUUCUCGAGUCUUUUAUCGUGAUUAAUUUUUUUACUACUGUUUAACUUUUUCCUUUAAUAAUACAUAAGUAAAUGAGAAAAAACGUGCAAGACACGAAAAAAAUACGUCUUUAAUACAAUUGAUAAACACUCACGAGAAAACGAGACUUUUUGUUAAUUAUACAAUUAUACUCCAUACGAUGGAACCAUUUUUUUUAAAACUAUCAUUUGAUUUUAGACGCUGAUCAUCUUAUGAUUUAAAUGUUUACAGUGUCGAAGAAUAUUUAUUUAUUUAAUUACCAUAGGCAAUUAUUAUACCGGUGAAAUAAUUAUUUUGUGCAGUGGACUCUACUAACGAAAUAUAUAUGUAUAGUAUUACAAGUUAUUAUUCCUUCUAUUUUAAAGAUUUUAAACACUGAAUAUUUUGUUUCAUCCACAUAUAUAAUAACUAAAAAAAAAAUAAUAUAAAGGAUUUGAAAAAGUAUACUUGAGAUAUUAAACUAAACCUAAUUUAAUCAGAAAAUUCAAAUCAUGUUUAUUGUCUUUUUUCCAUUUUUAUAAAUAAGUCCUCCAAAUAGCAUACAAAUGAGAGAGGAUUGGUACGCACUUUACUAAAAUUGUAUGAUUUUAAAAUUAUUUUAUAACAUGUAAAAUUACUUUUAAAAACAUAAAAUCUUUUAACAACUAAAAGUAGAAAUUAAAAUCUUAUUUCAAAAAUGUAUUGAGAAAAACAAAUAAUUGUUUUCAUAAUUACGCCAAUUAACCUUUGAGCCUUUUGCUUUAUUUAUUAAUGCAUCAUCAAAGAAUUAAAACAUUCGUUAUUCAUUAUAACAUAUUUACUGCCCGAUUCCAUCUAAAGCAUAAAUUUUUAAGUUUUCAAACUUACAAAACCUAGUCUUGGUCUUAGAAUUACAAAAGACAUUAUUUUUGGCAGUUUUUUAUGUAAAAUUAUUUAAAAUAUCAAAGUCUAUUUAUAAAUACCACACUUUAAUUUUUAUCUCUUGUACGUUUAAAGGAAUUUUUUCAUAAUAAGUUCAUUUCUAUGAGAAAAGAUAAAGUUCUUUUUUUUAAUAGAUCGCGAAGUAAUUUAGUUUUAAAAUUAUAUAAAAAUAAAAAUAUUUUUUAGUAAAUUAUUAUUAUGUUAUGUUAAUCGACUUUCUCGAGAUUAAAGUCGACAAGAUCGACUUUGUUCGUUCGACUUUCGACAUAGUUUGACGGUUGACAAAUUCAAGUUGUUCAAGUUUUUCUCAGAAGCAUAUGCCUGAAGUUAUAAACGUUUAAAUGAAAGAAAUAUAUUUUUUUAAAUUUACUACAUCAAUGAAAAUAAAAAGUUACAUUUAAAAUUCAAUAAGUUAUUCACUUAUUUUUCGAUACAGAAACCAAUAUUUUAUAAAAAAUUUGAAGUUAAAACAGUGGUAAAUAAAUUUUUCGUUCAUUUGAACGUUCAGAACUUUAGUCACAUUCAGAAGCAUUGAUCCAGACAUAUAUUUUGAUGACAAUUAAUCUUUUUUUUGUUUUUAAAAAUAUUAAAUGUUUAACACCGCAUUAAAAUUUUUCCGUUUUACUUCCCGGGUAGAAAUUUUGUCAUGGUCUAAACCUGGCCAAAUCUGGCAUCCAUAAAAUUGACAUGAAAUGCCUUACCUGAUUUGGGCUACAAGAUAAAGUCACAUUUUGACGCUUCCCAGGUCUGGCCCAUAUUGGGUGAGGCGUUUCAAUCCAUUUUUGGGCCAAAUAUGGCAAUUUCUACACGGGUUCUACGCUGUGACAAAAUGUGAUAAAAAAAAGACUAAUUUAACAGUAAUUUUAUUUUAAAAAAAGUAUCACUGUAAAAAUAUAUGCUAUCCUUUACAUUUCAAUAUUAAGAAUUAAUUUUGAGUAUAAAAAAAAUUUAUCUAAUUUUACUUGUAAAUGUUUAGAUUUUAUACACUACAAAACAUUUAAAAAAAUUUUUUUACUAAUAAGUAUGUUAAAAAAAUUGUUAUCUAAGGAAAAACACUUAUUUUAAAUUCAUUUAGUUAAUUUCACGUUUAUUAUAUAGGUAUACUUUACAAAAAGUAAUUUUUUUAAAAUUAUGUAUUUAAAAGUCGGUAAAAGUCGAUCGAAGUCGACUUCUUGACUCGAUUAAUCGACUUUUAAAGUCGAGAAAUAUAAAGUCGAUUGUGAAGUAGAAAAUCGACUUUUAAUUUCUCUUUUCUAUCCCUAAUAGGUCCAUUGAAAAUUUCGCUGGUGAAAAAUAAAACUUCUUAAUAUUCAUUGCUUUAAAAAAAUAACUGACAAUUAACGAUAAUUUUAAAACAGUAGUUUUUGUAGAAGAUUAAUAUAACUUCUUGGCAUUGCGUUGUUUACAAAUAAUUUCUUCAAAUACUUUAAAAAAGUUUUAGAAAUUGCCGAUGGAAAAAUGGUUUUUCUCAACAUUUCAUUUUUUAUGAGGGACUAUACUUCAAUUACGUAAUGCUUCAUAGGGGAGGGGAGUCAAGCAAUUUGUUACACACAGCAAAAAAAUGGCGCUAAUGUAUACAAAAAUCUGUUACAUAGGAAGGGAGGGGGUUCAAUUUUCAAAGAAAAAGCGUUACGUAAUUAAAGUAUGGUCCCUGAGGAGAAACAAAAAAGUAGAUAAUGACAAAUUUUAAACAACCCAUCGAUUAAUAUACCUGAACUUCCCAGGUCAAAACUUAGAAGUUAUUAAACUGGCUUGUAACUUUUGUAAAUUGUUGUUCUAUAUAAGAGUAACAAAUCCCUAAAAUAUUAGCUCAUUUUAAAAUUUUUUUUUAAAAGUAGUGAAGGUGUAAGUUUUGACGUUUUAAGGCGCUCUCACACCUUUUUGGCUGCCUGCAGCCAAAAAGGUGUGAGUGCGCCCCGGCGAGACUAAGGUUCAAUUUUGUAACACCGUGACUAAGGUAGGGUAAAUUUUACCCUAUAAUGAUUUUCUGUUUCUAUAUUUAAGAAAAGCUUAAAAUCAUGGAAAUUUUUUAACAAAUUUGUUUUAUAUUGUCUAGUAAUGUAAUUUAUUAGUGUCACAACAAAAUUUGAAUUUAUAUAAAAAUCGCAGUAAAAUUCAGCAUUCCUAGUUCAAACUAUCGAGGAAUAAAAGUUUCAUAGGGUAAAAUUUACCCUACCUUAGACACGGCGGGUUAAAUAGAAAAAUUUAAGGUUAUAUAUAAUAAAAUCUUACGUCAAGAUAAAUCGAUCGGUAUAUAUAAAGUAUAGUUUUAAUUUAAAUUUAGAGAAUUAAUGAAAGUUAAAAAAUCGAAAAUUCACAUUUUGGCUAUAAAAUUUUGUGAUUAUUUAAAUUUAAGUUUAUAGAUGAAAUAAUUGUCUUCCUUGCAUGAAAAUGAAUCGAUUGGUAUAUAUACAGUUUACAUUUAAAGUAAAUUUAAUAAAUUAAUAGAGAGAAGAUAUCUUUUUAAUUUUGUGGCCUAUUGGCUUAUAUUUAAUGUGUCACAUGUCAAAAACGUGACAAAAAAACUUGUUUUUCUAUUAAUUAAGGAAAUGUCUUUUAUAUUUGUUAUAUAUUUUUUACACACGUUUUUUAUAUAUUUUUACACAUGAUUUUAUUGAUACACAAUGGUUUUUAUUUUCCGUAUGACUUCUCUUGAUUUCUUUUUUGUAAGAAGUUUUGACAAACCCUUUUGAGGUUAUGUAAAAAAUUUUUUCAAAUGUUUUUCAAAAAAACCUGGUAUGUACACCAUUAAAUAGUUUGCCAAAAUGUUUCUCGUAGAAACUUAUGUAUUCUAUUGGCUUUUUACAGAUUAUUUAUCUUGCUUUGUUUUUUCUGAUGAGGAUACAGAAUACUGUGUCGAAACGCGUCAAAUUUUGAUGUAAUUAAAUAAGUAUAAGCUAAUAGGCCACAAAAUUAAGAAGACAUCUUCUCUCUAUUAAAAAUGGCUUAAAAUAAAGAAGUAUUUACUUCAUACAUUAAUAAAUUAAUGAAAGUUAAAAAAUAAAAAAUUCACAUUUUAGCUGAAAAAUUUUGUAUUUAUUUAAAUUCAAGUUUAAAUAUAAAAUAAUUGUGUUCCUUGUAUUGAAACGAAUCUAUAUAAUUGUAAAUAAUUAUAAAUUAUAUAUUAUUUUUUAUUAAUUUUUAGAAAUUUCAGCUAAAAUGUGAAUUUUUGAUUUCUUAACUUCCAUUAAUUCUUUAAAUUUAACUCAAAUCUGUAGGUACUCAAAUGUUUAUAUUAUUAUAUUAUUUUUGUAUGUUUAUUUCAAUGUUGAUGCUUUCUCCACGAGGAAGCAAAAUGUUCAUGUAAUGAACAUCGGAAUUUACAACUUGUUAUUAUUUUUUUAAAUAUUUUUGCAAUUGAAUUGUUUAAUAUAAAAUUUUCUUUUUUAAAAUAGUGAAUAAAAUGUAAGCUUAAAUUAAAUGAAAAAAAAAAUUGUAAAAUCCGAUUAAUCUUAUGUUGUCAUGUCAACAAAUAAAAAUUUUAGUUAUCUAUUACUUCUGGCCAGCACCAAACCUGGGUCCAGCUAGACCUUCCAGACCAGCAUCGCUAGACACAGUCUAGAAAUUACAAAAUGAAAAUUUUCUGUUAUUUAUUACCUUUGGUCAGCACCAGAGUUGGGUCUUCCAGACCAGCAUCGCUAGAUACAGUCAAGAAAUUCCAAAUUAAAAAUUUUUAGUUAUCUGGACCUUUUGCCCAGCACCAGAUUUCGGUCUGACUAGACUCUCCAGACCAGCGAGGCUAUUCAGGGUCUGACUAGUGUUUGAGUACUACCAGAACUGGAUUAAGCCAAACCUUCCAGACUAGCGAUGCUAGACGUUUUUUAGAUUGCGCUAGGCUUGACUAUAGACGUUCCAGAAGAUUUUUCUACACGGGAAAAUUAUUUGAUAUAAAUAAUGUAUCUUUUAAUGCCAAUAUACAUUAUUUUAUCAAAACAAAUAAAAAAAUAUUUAGACCAAAUAAACAUUAAGAAGGGAAACUCGUGUAAAAAUUUUUUUUUUACAAUUUUUCUAUUUUGCUUUAAAAAUUAGUUUAUUAUCUAUAGAAUAUGAUCCUACAUUACUAAUCUAUAUUUAGAUGUAUGAAUGUCUAUAGUAUUCAUAAGUUUAGCACUACAAAUGCUAUCAAAUGUAGCUAACGAUGAGCACGAAAUCUCUCUAUUCUUUCGGUUUCUUCCCAGUGUGCACACCCUGUAACUGUUCUAGAAUGGUUAUUGAAAUAAAGAACUAAUCUAGAACAGUUACAGGUUGUGCACACUGGGUUGUCAAUAAAAUUUUAUUAAUUGUCAUUAACAAGGACCAUAAGCAAGUGAUAGUAAAUCUUGGUUUUAGUGCUAUUGUUAUUUUCGAUUACAUAACGUUUUUAAGGCAAUACUUAAAACACUAUUUUUUUGUAUCGAAAACUUUAAACGCGUUUAAAGUGUUUUUUCGCGCGCCGUGCAAUGCAGCUCAGACAAUUUUUAACCGAUUUUCAUGAAAUUUACCAGAAAUCUUCUUUAACUUACUGGCUAUUGCAUGACGAAAUGACGAAAAAAAUUUUUUUAAACAAUUUAGUUUUUAGAUUGUUUAUAAAAAAAAUUGAUUUUUUUUUAAAAUGGUGGGGCGCAUGAUUAUUUCAUAAUGUGAAACAUUUAGAAAUUUAAUUUUAUAGAAUUUUACUUUAUUCGAAUUUGUGUUUUUUGAAUUAACGUUGAAUAGAAUUUAAAUUAACCAGAAUUUAUACAUAAACAACAAAUGUUUAGAGUUCAAAACUUGAUAUUUGAGCUUUUCCAAAAAUAAGUUUUUAAAGAGGUAGAGGAAGGUGGGGUAAUGGGAGCUUUUAAAUUUCAAGUACACAGAGACUUUGAAUUUCGUGGAAAUAACUCGGAAAACUUGAAUAAUCUUCCUGUAUGUCAUACGAAGAAAAGUGGUAACAUUUCUAAAAGAUUUAUAGAAACUACAAGGAAAAAUCAAGUUUUCGAGUUUUUCUUCUUAAAUGCAAAAUCUUUCUGGAGAUCAAAGUAAAUAGUUAAAAAUUUAUUAUUUAAUUAUGUUUUGUGAUUUUAUUAGAGAUAAAUAUGUGUAGAUUUAGAUACAUGAAUAAAAAUAGAGGUAAUAAUUAAAUUUGUUUUUCAUCUUUUUUUUCAAAUUGUGACCUCUGAAAAUUCUUUGGAGUAAUUGAAGAAUUGUGCCAGCCAGCAGAGUUUCGUUACCUCGAUAUGACUUUUCUUAUUUUUUUGAAAAUUAAAGAAGAUUCAUUUAUGAAAUUUGAUAUUGUUGCAUAUUUAAUUGCUAAGAAUCAAUAUUUGUAUUUUAAUGUCUAAAAUGUGUUAUUAUUGAAUAUUUUAAUACUAAAGAAGCUGUAGGUCUUUUUUAUGUCUUAAAUAUUUUGUAAAAAUAUGUAAAUAUUGUAAAAAUCUGUCGAGAACUAUUGACAAAAUAAGAAAAAUAUCUAAAGAAAAUAUAAAUUAUAUAAUUUUAUUGGAAUUUCAAGUGAGAGCUCCCAAUACCCCACAGGUGGGGUAAUGGGAGAAAAUGCAAACUUACUUUUUUGUUCUUAAUUUCUAAUUAAUUAUAAUUAAAGGUAAAUAACAAAAGGAGUAAAAAAUGAUCAAAACAAUAUUUUAUUAUAAAAAUAAGUUGGUUUUUUUAAUCAUUGUCCUUAAGGGACUCCAAUUUCCCCACCUUCCCCUAACAUAAAAAAAAUGAAGAAGUUAAAAAUUUACUCUGGAGUACCAAAAUUAGUUAUUUUAAUUUAUACUUCACAAUAAUGAAUGAAUAUUAAUUAAAUUGUGUACAAACUUACAGUUCAUCAAACGAAGCUGAAGUGCGCAAUGUUUAUGAUAAACGAUUUUGAAAGAAAUAAUUUUUUAAAAUGAAAAAUUCUAUAAUUUUUUUCUUAAAAAUUAUUUUUUGUAGAUUUCAUUAAUUAACAAAUUAUAAAAAAAUAUUUUAUAGGCAAAAAAUUAUAGAAUUUUUCAUUUUAAAAAUUAUUUCUUUAAAAAUCGUUUAUCAUAAACGUUGCGUACUUCAGCUUCGUCUUCAUUAAGUUUUUUAACUUAAGUGGAGGGAAAAAUUGAUUCAACUUAAAACUUUUGAAUACACUCAAGUGUGCCAAGCAACCCCUGCGCCAAACAGCCCAAAUGUUUCAAAUUUCCCUAUUUGCAAAUUAAAAUCGAUAAAAUUUUGAGAUAGUUAUGUGGAUUUUAAAAUGCCAAUUUCACUUAAUUCAUUAAAACUUCCACACUUUCUACAAAUUUUUUUUAACAUGAGCUAAUAUUUUAGAGAUUUGUUACUCUUAUAUAGGGCAACAAUUCUCAAAAGUUAAAAGCCAGUUCAAUAACUUCUAACUUUUAACCAGGACAGUUCAGGAAUUUUCCCCCAUAUGAUAAUUUUGAACUUUUUAAAUAUGUAUGUUCAAGGCAUCGACAUUAUUUUCAAAUGUGAAAACAAAUAUUUCAAUUCGUUUAUAAUUUAAAAAGCAUAUAUUGUGAUUACAUUAUUUGUGUUGUGCACGCAGAAAAAUGGUUGAAAUUGAAAUUCGGUGAAUUCUAGGGAACGAUUCAAUAAAUUGGUUACGGCAACUAUUUCUUGAACAGUGCAACCACCAUUAGAAAUUUUUGGUUCGCGCUCCAAAAUCUGACGAAUCGAAUAUAACUUUCCCAUUUAAAGUUAUCUCAUGUGGAAUUAAAUUGUGCACGACUUUAUCGAAGUAGUGACAACUUAGACGAAAAUUUUAAUCUCAAUCAGUUUAAUAAUUAUUUUUAAUUUAAUCGGUUGGCAAUUUGAAAUUAUGUUAAUGAAUUGAAUACCGUGAAAAAGUCAAUUCCAGAUUCACACCACUAUAUGUGUUGGUAAUUAACCGAAUUAGAAACAUCUACACUUUUGCAUGCAACUGUAUGUAUUUCAUAUAUAGUUUAUUGAAAAGUCUUCUGUACAUAUAUAUUUUACUGCUCUCGGCGCAUUACAAGCCUUUUACAUAUGAUUAUCUCAUGAGCUUAAUAUUCGUCCCAUUAACUGCCCAUCUGUCACGAUUCGAAAAUAAAUAUCAUUAAUAGAAAAAAAA